GACGAACGCUGGCGGCGUGCCUAAUACAUGCAAGUCGAGCGCAGGAAACUGACGGAACUCUUCGGAGGGAAGGCAGUGGAAUGAGCGGCGGACGGGUGAGUAACACGUAAGGAACCUGCCUCAAGGAUUGGGAUAACUCCGAGAAAUCGGAGCUAAUACCGGAUAGUUCAACGGACCGCAUGGUCCGCUGAUGAAAGGCGCUCCGGCGUCACCUUGAGAUGGCCUUGCGGUGCAUUAGCUAGUUGGUGGGGUAACGGCCCACCAAGGCGACGCUGCAUAGCCGACCGCGGAGGGUGAUCGGCCACGCUGGGACGGAGACACGGCCCAGACUCCUGCGGGAGGCAGCAGUAGGGAAUCUUCCACAAUGGACGAAAGGCUGAUGGAGCAACGCCGCGUGAGUGAUGAAGGUUUUCGGAUCGUAAAACUCUGUUGUAAGGGAAGAACACGUACGAGAGGGAAUGCUCGUACCUUGACGGUACCUUACGAGAAAGCCACGGCUAACUACGUGCCAGCAGCCGCCGUAAGAC
rnacentral:rRNA from 1 species